GUCCGGCUCUCCUGGGAUGAAGAUGAUAUCCGUCCUACCUCUGGCGUCACGCCCUGCUGGGGGACGGCAAACUUGCAGUCUGUUCAAGAAAGUCGUGUCCGGAAGCAUAGGAAGGGAGCUUUUGACCCAACCUGAGACUCUGGCAGUGGAGUUUUCGGAUAGACUAUUCGGGUCAAAACCGGGACUUGCAGAGAGAGGAUGAAUGAAAGGAAAAUUAUAAAUAGACGGUGUCUAUUUAUAUAGCAUCAUGUAAGUUGUCAUUUUAAAAGUUACAUUUUACGGUUUAAUCUUGUUUUCGUUUCUAAUCACAAAUGGACGGGAGCACCUAAGUUCUUAAUAGGAUCUACAUGUAUGGAUGUGAGAGUUGGACUGUGAAGAAGGCUGAGCGCCGAAGAAUUGAUGCUUUUGAACUGUGGUGUUGGAGAAGACUCUUGAGAGUCCCUUGGACUGCAAGGAGAUCCAACCAGUCCAUUCUGAAGGAGAUCAGCCCUGGGUGUUCUUUGGAAGGAAUGAUGCUGAAGCUGAAACUCCAGUACUUUGGCCACCUCAUGCGAAGAGUUGAUUCAUUGGAAAAGACUGAUGCUGGGAGGGAUUGGGGGCAGGAGGAGAAGGGGACGACAGAGGAUGAGAUCGCUGGAUGGCAUCACGGACUCGAUGGACGUGAGUCUGAGUGAACUCCGGGGGUUGGUGAUGGACAGGGAGGCCUGGCGUGCUCCGAUUCAUGGGGUCUCAAAGAGUCUUAGCUAAUUGUCACCUGCAAUGUAGGUGACCCAGGUUGGAUCCCUGGGUCAGGAAGAUCCCCUGGAGAAGGAAAUGGCAACCCACUCCAGUACUCCUGCCUGGAGAAUUCCAUGGACAGAGGAUCCUGGCAGGCUACAGUCCCUGGGGUCGCAAAGAGUCGGACACGACUGAGCCACUCACACACACUUACCUACUUAUUGUGUGUAAAAGCCUGCAUGAAGUGUUCAGAGGCUUACACAGAUGACUACAAUAUUAUCUUCAUAUAAUUUAACAUUUAAUGAGGAAUAGAGGGGAGAUGGAGAAGGCAAUGGCACCCCACUCCGGUACUCUUGCCUGGAAAAUCCCAUGGACCGGAGGAACCUGGAGUGUGUUCAGAAGAAAAGAAUCCGUGUGGCAGCACAUCUGGAAAUCAACUCCUGGGAAGAAGGAAUGAAUGAAGUCAUUGGCCAGGAGCAGAGCAGACUGAAGGAAGCUGGGGAGCCAUCUACAAGGAGCAAAGACUUUUUCCCUGUUGCUCCCUAAGACCAAUUAAGAGGCACCACAGCAUCAGAUUUCUGAUUUCAACUCAAUAUGUGAAAUACUUUUUAACCUCUAGAGCUGUUUACUAAUGGAAUAAUCUACCUUAAUAGAAUAAGUAUUCCCCUAUGAAAACACACAGAGAGAAGUUGAUUGUAGAAGGGAUUCCAGAACUUGGAAGGGAAUUGGAGGAGAGCUGUAUCUGGGUUCUAAGACUUCUUGACCCCAACAUUCCCUGUCUUUCUAAUGCUUGAAACGUCCAUAGGAAAGGCCAAAAUGGCCAGAAAGUAUAAUGUUUCCAAAGUAAAUAAUUAUUCAGUAUAAACUUGACUUGAUAUUCAUGAGUGCGAUAUCCUCACAGGAGGCUGAAAUCUAAGAAGUUUGCUGAGUGACCCACACAAAUAUCAGAGAGGAAAGUGUUAUCUAAGAUUGUAAUGACAAGAGCCAGAAAUCAGCAGGUACACUGGGACCUAAACUCGAGUCCUUAAUCUUGUUUGCAUAUUAUAUUAGGAGAAUACCCCAGUAAAUCCAAAUCAAAUUAUACAAUGUUACACUGUUAGUUACUAAAAAUUAAUGACGGCAAUUUGUUUCUCUUCUUAGACUUUGGUUUUCAGUUUUUCUCCUACGAUUUCCCUUUUGUUCAUUCAAACUUGUGAACAAUGCCUUAAGAAGCUGUGGAGAAGUAGACAAUUCUGCUUUGGGGUUGGGAUGGCCAUUUGGCCAUAGUUAUCAAAAUGUGAAGGGAACAUACCCUUUGACCCAGCAAUUCCACUUGUAGGAAUGAAUUUCCCUCCAUAUAAGAAAGCACCGCAGUAAAGAGUAUGUGCGGGGCUUCCCUGGUGGCCCAGUGGUUAAGAAUCUGCUUUGCAGUGCACGGGAAAUGCUGGUUUGAUCUUCGGUCCCUUUGAUCCUUGGUCCUGGAAGAUCCCACAUGCCUUGGAGCAGCUAAGCCCAUGCUCCACAAUAAGAGAAGUCACCGCAAUGAGAGGCCCAUGCACCCCAGCUAGAAAGUGGCUGCUGGUCGCCACAGCUGGAGCAAGCCAGCACUCAACAAUGAAGACCCAGUGCAGCCAAAAAUCAAUAAAUAAUCAUUUAAAUUUUUUAAAAAGAAUAUGUGCAGCAAAACAUUAAAAAUGCCCUGACUGUCUAUCAAUAAGGGACUGUUUCAUGAGGAAUGACACAUGCUAUAUCAAGGGUAGAAGAUCUUUAUGUACUGACUUGGAAAGUGCUCCAAGAUACACUGUUGUAUGACAAAAGCAAGGUAGUAAACUUUGUGCUUUAAAAAAAAAGCAUCUAGGGACUUCCUUGGAGGUUCAGUGAUUAAGACUCAAUGCUUUGACUGCAGUGGGUGUGGGUUUGAUCACUGAUUGGGGAACUGAGGAUCCCACAUGCUGCAGGGCAUGGCCAAAAAAAAAAAAAAAAGCUCAGAAAAAGGACAUCUAUAGACAGAAAUACACGAUGUGCCAGGCAGCUUCUAAGAUGAUCCUCAAUGCUCUCCAACCCUUGGUGUGGAUUCAACCUAGUGUGGGUUCAACCUAGUGUCUUUUUUCUAACAGAAUAUAGCAAGGGUGUCGAUUCUGAGAUUUGGUUGUAGAAAAAAACUUUGGUUUCCUUCUUGUCCUUCUUGAGUUUUCUAGCUCUCGUCACCUAUUUGCAUGGAUGAAAUCAGUUGCCAUGCUCGGAGGAGCCCAGUGGAGAGGCCCAUGGGGUAAGAAGCUCAGGGAGGCCUCAAGCAAAAGACCAAUGCAGAAAUGAGGCCAUCAGCCUAACAGCCUGUGAGGAACUAAAUCCUGCCAGCAAGGCCUUGAGGGAACUUGACAGCAGAUAGUCUGGAUCGGAGCUAUGAGGUGACUGCAUUCUCAGCUGACAGCUUGAUGACAUCUUUGUAACAGACCCUGAGCCUGGAGGGCCCGACGAGGCCACUGGGACUCUUGAUCACAGGAAAUAUAUGAUAAUAAAUGUUUGUUGUUUUAAGUCACUAUGUUUUGGGGUAACGUUACACAGCUGCUGCUGCUGCUGCUGUUGCUGCUGCUAAGUCGCUUCAGUUGUGUCCGACUCUGUGCGACCCCAUAGAUGGCAGCCCACCAGGCUCCCCCAUCCCUGGGAUUCCCAGGCAAGAACGCUGGAGUGGGUUGCCAUUUCUUCUCCAAUGCAUGAAAGUGAAAAGUGAAAGUGAAGUCGAUCAGUCGUGCCUGACUCUUAGUGACCCCAUGGACUGCAGCCCACCAGGCUCCUCCGCCCAUGGGAUUGCCCACACAGCAGUAGAUAGCUGAUACCAAAUGCAUGUUUGUUUAUGCACGUAUUUCUUUUUUAAAAACUAAAUAAAAGUAUCUAUUUUUGUUUGAUUUUUAAAAUUUAUUUUUAAUUGGAAGAUAAUUGUUUUAUAUCGUGUUGGUUUCUGCCAUACAUCAACAUGAGUCUGUCAUAGGCAUACAUAUGUUCCCUCGCUCCUGAACCUCUCUCCCACCUCCUGCCCUGUCCCAACCUUCUAGGUUUUCACAGAGCACUGGAUUUGAGCUCCCUGCAACAUACAGCAAAUUCCCACUGGCUAUCUAAUUUUACAUAUGGUAAUGUGUAUUUUUUAAACCCUGGCCACUGUGCUUGCCACCAGGGAAAGAAGUUUAAGAUUCUAGGGUGGAAGGAAACUUACUUUUUAAUAUAGACUCUUUAGUUUUAUCUCAGUUGUUUAUUCAACAAAGAGGCAAAUAAUAACAUGUUUAAUAUUCUCCAAU
ensembl:lncRNA